AUUUAUCUUAAAAAUGUAUAUUUAUGAGAGCUUGUUAGAGUUUUCCACUUUAAGGCCACAAUGCAAUUCCACAAAAUUAAAGAAGGAUCAAUUAGCUCAGAGGUGUUGGCAGUGAUUCGUCAAAAAAAAUAGGGAAGUUCUUAAGGCGCAAAAAGGAUGUAGAUGUCGUCCAGGAAAUUCAAC